UGCCAGCAGCCGCGGUAAUACGGAGGGUGCAAGCGUUGCUCGGAAUCACUGGGCGUAAAGGGUGCGUAGGCGGCCUUGUCAGUCAGGCGUGAAAGCCCUCGGCUCAACCGAGGAAUUGCGUUUGAUACUGCUUUGCUAGAGUCUCGGAGAGGUUGGCGGAAUUCCAGGUGUGGGAGUGAAAUCCGUAGAUAUCUGGAGGAACACCAGUGGCGAAGGCGGCCAACUGGACGAGUACUGACACUGAGGUACGAAAGCGUGGGGAGCAAACAGGAUUAGAUA
rnacentral:rRNA from 1 species